AAAAAGGGCACUCGGCGACACUGCCGUGCGUCGCGCUGUGCGCGGCGUACAGAAUCCCCAUCAAGAGAUUCUGAGUGAACAAUUUUUGAGAAUGGGGCAGUUGGUUGGCGUUCGCACCGGCGCCCCU
rnacentral:snRNA from 1 species